AGAGAAAGAGAAAAUGUGGAAGGAUUUCUGAUAAGUGAGGCAACGAAUAGCUUUAGGGGGCGAGUAGAGAAAAAGCUUCAGGAAAAUUAACUGUUUCUGACAUAAUUUCUAUCCUUUAAAUGUGAAAAAGUUUACAGUGCAGAUGCUAUGGACUUUAAUAAACACAGAAACUAAAGCUGCUGUAAUACUUUGUCCCUCAUUUAUAACAUUUUGCAAAGAGUUAUCUGAUUAUUUGUUCUCUGGAUCUUUUUAGUUAACCUAAAAUUCACUGAGGCCUUAAAAAGCAUUUAGGAAAUACCUGAUAGAUUUUUGGCAGUAAACGGCAUCAUGCCGCACCACGUACAAGCUCAGUGGUCUGUUGUCAAAUACAGAGCUCCCUGAAAUGCACAGUAAUAGUGGACAAAGAGGUAAUGGGGUACAGCGAGAGCACAGGUGGAGCCAAGACUGGAAAGCAGGAAACAUAAGUAUAAACAGCGACUUCCCUAUGCUUGAGAGGGUCCUUGUUAAUUGAAAAUAAACGUUGAUUCUUGCUGUUUGCUUGGCUGGUUUUAAAGCGUACAGCCUUGCCUGUGUACUAAAAAUGUGUUUUCUCGUUCCAUCUUUUGAAGCCUGUGGCUUUAUUACUACCUCUCUUUCAAUGAUUUCAAAGAGAUGGUGUCAGAACAGUACUUUAAAUGGAGCAGACAGGCUUCUUUAGAGGUUUUUACUCUGAUCUGCUAGGUUCUGAAAAUGCUUUGUUUGGCUUUCCUCUAUUUCUAGAGGGUGGACAGGAUAGUUCUAAAGCAGUUAUUGGCUUUCCUGUAUAGUUAAUAGCAUCUAUGUUGGAAGAUGCAACAAUUCUGGGAGGAUGAAUGUAUAAGCAAAAUGGAGAGGUAGAGGUAUUUAUUAACAUCAUCUGUCUGGUAUAUAGAGCUGAAGCGUGUAAUAUAUAUUUCCUUUAUGCCUUUCUGCACUAAAUUGAAAAGGGUAGUUGAAAGAGGGGUGCACAUUUUUGUGGUAUUUGUUAUAAAAAUAUAUUUACUGAAGCCUGCAAAAUGAACUGAAGUCUGCCAAGUAAAGAAUAACGACAUUUUAUGUUUUCAGUUUGUAGAUCUUCUCGAUACCUGUGGGAGCUGCAUGCACAGCCAGAUGUAAUAAUCUCUGCAGGUGAAAAUUCUGAAAAUACUUGUCUGCGUACAAGCGUGGCUUCAGGUCUCAGAAGAGUAUGUUUAUCCUCAAAAUUAAUGUUGCUACAGUUUUGGAGAAACCACUGCAAAGAGUUGAAUUACUUGCCAAACCCCAACCCUGCAAAUCAGUGACAAAGAUGAAGAUAGCGCCUAGCCUGCAGCUAGUAUUAUGAAAUUAAUGAAAUACGUACUUCCAGAUCUCCUGAGAUAUUGGCUCCUGCAAGAAUGCCAGUGGCAGCUGGGAAAAAAAUGGCAAACACCGAGAAAAAUCCUUCUCCACUCCUGAAAUCU